rnacentral:pre_miRNA from 1 species
GAAAGAAAGAAGCUUGUGUUUUUUGUGGGGAAUAUUGUCUGGUCCAAGGCUAGCUAGCUAGCUAGCUAGUGGUAGUGGUGAUCUGCUCAGUUACUCCUCGGACCAGGCUUCAUUCCCCUCAACUACUCUUGCUCUUGCUUC